rnacentral:rRNA from 1 species
GACGAACGCUGGCGGCGUGCUUAACACAUGCAAGUCGAACGAUGAAGCUGGAGCUUGCUCCGGUGGAUUAGUGGCGAACGGGUGAGUAACACGUGAGCAAUCUGCCCUUCACUCUGGGAUAACUGCGGGAAACUGUAGCUAAUACCGGAUACGAGACCUUGGGGCAUCCCAGGGUAUGGAAAGAAUUUCGGUGAAGGAUGAGCUCGCGGCCUAUCAGCGAGUUGGUGAGGUAAUGGCUCACCAAGGCGACGACGGGUAGCCGGCCUGAGAGGGUGACCGGCCACACUGGGACUGAGACACGGCCCAGACUCCUACGGGAGGCAGCAGUGGGGAAUAUUGCACAAUGGGCGAAAGCCUGAUGCAGCAACGCCGCGUGAGGGAUGAAGGCCUUCGGGUUGUAAACCUCUUUUAGUAGGGAAGAAGCGCAAGUGACGGUACCUACAGAAAAAGCACCGGCUAACUACGUGCCAGCAGCCGCCGCGG